AUAUAAUAGUGGUACAACAUUCAUGUUACUAACUUGGUCAGGUCCGGAAGGAAGCAGCCAUACGAACCUCUGUCUGUGUGUACCUUUUUAUUUAAUAUG
rnacentral:SRP_RNA from 1 species